CCUUUGGUAAACUCUGCACAGGGACCCACCGUGGGGACAGGUGGGAAGGGAAGACAUUUUAAACUAUUUUAGCUAAACAAGGAGGGCUGCAAAGAAGCCACCUGGGGUGAAGGAAAGAGCACAGCCGAGGAGCUCGGAACUCCAGUUCUGUCCCUGGAGAGCACCCCCACAUUCCAGGAGAUGUGCCGGGCCCUUUUGCGGUGAUCGUCUUGAAUGCUUACAGCGCCCCUGGAAGGGACACAGUUGUAUUUUUUCCCCCUGUGACGGCAGGGGAACCUGAGAUUCUGAUGGGAACAUAGAGGCUAAGCAACCUGCUGAAGAUCCCAGGAGGAGCCGGGCCGUCAGAGAAAAUCCUCGGGCAAAGAGGUGAAGCUGAUGUCAGCUAGCAGCACGCUCAGGGCCAGGGUGCCCUGAAAUGGUAAGGGAGGUGGGUGUGGGGAGGCCACCCGCAGCACCUGCUUCAGUGACCGAGCAGAGACAACUUCCUGGAAAGGAGGCGAGAGAUACUGGCUGUGACAAUCGCUUCUACGUCUAUGACACCUGUCUCCCUAAGAAUUCAAAGAUCAGCUCCCGAUACCGUCUGUCAUCAUUUCAUCAUCCUUAGACCGUGCCUAGAUGCGGAGAGGAAGGGGGAAUGCUGGGCAAGGAGUGUGGAUUCUAAUUCAGGCUCCAGAAUGAAUGUCAGUUUCCUCAUCUGCGGUGUGGGGAUGAAACCACAUCACCUUGGUGUCUUCUUAGGGCCAUUUGGGAAUCAAAUAAGAUCACGACAGAAAAAAAGAUCCUGAGUGUGUAACUGGUUUGAAAACUACAGAUCACCAAAGUCUUCCAUGGUGGCAGAGGAUAGAGACGAAAGCCAGGUGGCUUGACUCCUGACCCCCGGGUUCUUUCGAAGGGUCUAAGUGACCAUGGCCACCGGAGAAGCCACACAUGUCACCAUGGCACACCAUGCAUGGCUCAGCUGGGCCUCUGGGGCAGUUAGCCCUGGAAGAAGGGACCAGGGGAACCCUUGGAUGGGAGGCCUGAAGUUCUUGCUCAGGGACAUCAAGCGGGGAUGCUCUCAGCUGGCUCCUGGGGGUUAGGCAGAAGACAGAGGAGGAUGGGACUGGCAGUCAUUAAACCAGGAGGUGGGGUGGUCACCUGAGAAGUGUUCUGACCAGCUGGGACAGGUUUCCUCAUUUCCUUACAGUUGCAGGAACAUCUCAGGAUAUGGGCUAAAGGGACUCCUGUUCACACACAGGCAGUGAGACCCAGGGAAGCUGGCUCAGGCCAGACUGGCAAUACGAGUGGUCUGCUGAAGGCCAUGUGGCUUCCCCUUCUCCCUGACAUUGAAUUGACUCAAGCUGGGAUCGGCUGCAGUUAGCCCUUGGUCUCAGCCAGAGUAAACCCAGUCCUAGCCUCGUCUCAGUGGUCAGUCCUAGUGUUCUGUAAUGUGAAAUCAUCAUGGGUGGAGAGGUUGUGGGCCUGGGGCCAGAGGUCCAGGAAGAGGGAUCUCUGCUUGCACAAGCAGCUCUGGACCGAUGUCCAGAGAACCAUCAGGGAACUCUUAUUCACUGUUGCUCAGAGAAGGAACGUCACGACCCUCAUGGGGCAGGCAGCAAAGGGCAAAGGCAGCAAGC